GUGUUACAGGAUGGAAGAGUGAACCUACAGUUGAAAAACACUGAAAGUGCAUUACCAUUAAGGUAUGAGGUAAAGUAAUAGAGUAUGCAAAUUGUCUAAUGAGAAGUACCAUCUUGUGUGAAUGAAUCCUGUGUAACAGCAAUCCUUUAUAGUUCUGUCACAGCUAGAAGCCUCAAAUAAUUCUGCUUCUCUUGCUAAAGAACAACUUGUCCUUUACGUUCAGAGUGUUGGUGAAGCUGGGUACUUAAAUGGCCCUAAAGAUGUUUCAUUUCGUUGGCAUUGCAGCGAUGAACAUCAUACAUGGACUUUUUAGGAAAGGAUUUUCAGCAUACUGGGAACACAACUAUCAACAAUGCAACAUUCUAGGGGUGCUAUUUUAUCAUUUAAGAGCCUUAUACAAUGAUUUUCAUCUGCAAUUUGUAUGGCCUUUCCCAAGCUUCUGCCAGAAAUUGAAUCUAUAAGUCAUGUAAGUCACAUGAGCAACAAUUGAGAUGCUUAAUGGUGUUUUUCUUUUCUCAGCAUAGGUUAAUAGUAACAUUGGAUCUGAAAAGAUUCUUGGUUGGGGCAAGACACUGAAUAAAUUGUAAUGAUUGAAUGGA